rnacentral:rRNA from 1 species
UACGUAUGGAGCAAGCGUUAUCCGGAAUUACUGGGUGUAAAGGGAGCGUAGACGGAUGUGCAAGUCUGAUGUGAAAGGCGGGGGCUCAACCCCUGGACUGCAUUGGAAACUGUAAAUCUUGAGUGCCGGAGAGGUAAGCGGAAUUCCUAGUGUAGCGGUGAAAUGCAUAGAUAUCACGCAGAACCCCGAUUGCGAAGGCAGCGUACCGGCGCCCAACUGACGCUGAAGCACGAAAGCGUGGGUAUCGAACAGG